rnacentral:misc_RNA from 1 species
AUUCGAUUGAGCAAGCGUGGUGCGAUGACUUCUGGUGGUGUCCCCUUGGAGGGGGGAUAUGGGUGGGUGGUCGUGUCCGUUCUAUUUCUCCAGUAUAUUAUCAUGGCGGGGAUUCAAGGAUCAGUCGGAAUCAUCCACACGGAGCUGGUCAGCGAGACCUCCUAUAGCCUGUCUGUGAUUGGUUGGAUUGGUUCUCUAAUGAUUGGACUGUGUACCAUGUCCUCACCAUUUAUAUCAAUCUUGACGAAAUUUAUACCAUGCCGGAUUCUUGCUAUCACCGGAAGUUUACUAAUGAGCCUGGGAUUCCUCUGCGCAGCCUUCACUUCGUCAGUUCCGGUGCUCUUCUUGUGUCUAGGAAUACUCCCUGGUAUCGGUAUGAAUCUAAUCUCCUUCUCUUCCAUCAUGAUAUUGAGGGGAUACUUCCUGAAGAUACUGCCCCUGGCGUACGGCAUGUGUCUGGCGGGGGUGGGGGUAGGCAUGGUCAGUUUCCCGCCAUUCUAUGUCUAUCUACACGUGACCUUUGGACUCCAGGGUAGCUUCCUUAUCGUAUCCGCCAUCUGUAUGAACAGUGUGGUCUUCUCUGGACUGACUAUACCAACAAGGACUCAAUCUCAGAAAAAAUCCAUGGAAAAAGGCCUCUCCCUAGGGGACCUGUUUGACUUUAGUUUGUUCAAAUCGUACACCUUCGUCAUGUUUGUGACAGGCCAUCUUAUCUUUAACAUCGCUUACGCAGUGCCCUUCACGUACCUGCCUAUCAAAGGCGAGGAGACGGGGUUCUCGGAGCAGUCGUCCGCAUUAUUUAUAACAGUUCUCGGAGCCGGAAGUUCGGUUGGUAGGAUAUUAUUUGGAUGGAUGUCGGGGAAGUUUCCGUUGAUUCGUAAGAAAGCUUUCCUGGUCGUCAUGGUGUUAUCGACUUUGUCCCUACUUCCGGUGUCCUUCACCAGCUCCUACUCGCUAAUCAUGGUCUGCUCGACAAUAUUUGGAGCAUGCGCAGCUUUCAACAUACUGUUACCGAGAGUAAAUUUUGAGUGAAUAGGAAGUCAGUAGGAAAGAAAAUUCGUAUCAUUAAGUUCAGAUUGAGUUUUUGGUUUUGUUACGAAUCAUACACACGGAAAUUCCAAGCUUCCUGAUUGGGCUGAUCGGGAUCGACAACCUCCCUAACGGCCUGUCGGUGGCCUACCUACAGCAGGGCAUCGGGUCGCUGGUGGGAAUCCCUAUUGCAGAGGCGGUCUGUCGGAGGGUGGGUGAUAACGCCGCCUUCGGCUUCACUACCGUGGUGUGCGCCCUGGUCCUGGUUCUCUUCACCCUCUCCCUGUAUCUACCGGAAAGGAAACCACAGACACCCAAAGUACCACACAUACUCCCAGAAGUCCCCAAACCGGAAGUAUUUGUCGUGACCAUGGCGGAAACUGGACCGACGGCCGCUUAGGUUCAUGUUCUAUCGAACACUCUGCGUGUGCAUUUGGAAAGUUAUACACAAUUUGUGUUGUGUGUUAUUUCAUGCAAUGGCAUUGUUAUAUUUUUGGGUUUGCCUUAAACGAUUCGUGGCAUUGUAAGACUCACUUAUUAGGAGUGAUUGACAUGAUAUAAAAUGUUAAAUCUACAUUGUAAACUUAAUGCUUUGAAGGUUUUCCAAUAGGAAUUCAAGUGACAAGUUUGAGUAAUUAAAAGACGAUAACACAAAAU